rnacentral:lncRNA from 10 species
UGAAAGAGUCAUAAUAGAUCAGACAAAUUAAGAAUUCAGAGCCCAAUCCUAACUUCAAGCCAAGAAGUAAAAAAAGGAAGAAAAAAUCAAGACGCUCAGAACAGAACUCCAGCAAUAUUGAACCCAGUUUUCUUUAAUGACCCCUUCUCCCUGAAGGGCAGGUUCAGGCAGCUAGGUGAUGGCAACAGAUGUUCACUUGAAGAUCUUGCCCUGAUUGAAGGGUUUGCCCACAUGCUGGAAGGCCCCCUCCCAGGAAAAG